AGACAGAGGCGCAUUGAUUAUCAGUAGGCCCGUUCUUUUGAGGUUCCAGGCUCACUUAGUAUGGAACUUCAAUAAUAACGUACUGAACGUUGAACGGUUGAAAGGAUGAUAUGCCGAGGUAUAUAGGAAGCAGUAUCCUAUUUGCCGGGAAUAUGGUUAACAGCCGUAUUACUGUCAUCACGAGAGUGAUGGGGAGCUGCCAG
rnacentral:ncRNA from 1 species